UAGGACUUUGGUGUUCCUAUCACUCGGUACUCAGGUUAGAUUCACCAUUGUCAUUUCCCGCUCCCAAUCACAUGCCCUAACCUUUUAGGUUAACAAGGAAUUAGAGAAAUCUCUGAUCUCCAUUCUAAAAUAAAGUUCUCUUGUUUCUAAUUAAAUCUGAGUCUUAGGGGAUGCACACCUGGGCAGCCCUAUGAAAAGGGGGUAUGCUGGUUUUCCUGUGUUCUAUGUAGAUAUCUACUGUUUUAGGUGUGACAUCUGUUUGUUUGUUUGUUUUUACUUCUGAUAGUUCUUACCAAGCAUUUUCACAGCUGGCAUUUCCCUGACCACUAAAGUACUGGAAGAAAAGAAACCCAAGGCUUAUUUCAUUAUAAGUCGUGGAGUAAGGUCAACAUGCUCAUACACAGAUUGGAUUGAUCAAACAUUGCCUGAUGUGGUGAUGGAGGGAAGAUUGAAUCACAGAGUCAUGAGAGAAGUUUGGAUUAGGGGACCAUCAUCCAAUGAUAACUUUAAGUUUUAAAAUUAAUCAUAGAAUAGCUCAGCUAACCUGAAUCUCAUGGUGCACUGGCUGUGUAGACAGAAGACUAUGAUGUACUGAAGAGUAAGGUACAUAUGUGGCAAGUGUGCAAGGAAUGGCAUCUAAGGAAGACCUGCUGAGAACACAGCUUCCCACUAAAUGCACCAACCAUGGUAAACAACCGACUUUGGGUGAGUAUU
rnacentral:lncRNA from 1 species